AGUGAACGCUGGCGGUAGGCCUAACACAUGCAAGUCGAACGGCAGCACAGUAAGAGCUUGCUCUUACGGGUGGCGAGUGGCGGACGGGUGAGGAAUACAUCGGAAUCUACUUUUUCGUGGGGGAUAACGUAGGUAAACUUACGCUAAUACCGCAUACGACCUACGGGUGAAAGCAGGGGAUCUUCGGACCUUGCGCGAGUGAAUGAGCCGAUGCCGGAUUAGCUAGUUGGCGGGGUAAAGGCCCACCAAGGCGACGAUCCGUAGCUGGUCUGAGAGGAUGAUCAGCCACACUGGAACUGAGACACGGUCCAGACUCCUACGGGAGGCAGCAGUGGGGAAUAUUGGACAAUGGGCGCAAGCCUGAUCCAGCCAUACCGCGUGGGUGAAGAAGGCCUUCGGGUUGUAAAGCCCUUUUGUUGGGAAAGAAAAGCAGCAGGUUAAUACCCCGCUGUUCUGACGGUACCCAAAGAAUAAGCACCGGCUAACUUCGUG
rnacentral:rRNA from 1 species